GAAGUAUGGCAUUUCCAUCUGGCUUACCCACACCAAGAUGCAAACUGGAUUGAUCAAAAACAGUACCUAACAACUGAUGCUCCAUCUCUAUAUCAGAGUUUAGGAAAGGAGGUUGGAUAAAGUCAAGGAACUCGUCAAUAUACGUUUUUUCUAUGUAAUUUUCAUUAGAAAAAUUGAGGUUCAGUACUAAAUCAUGAGCGUCUAAAAAAACAGUAACCAAAUUAUCGGUGAGUAAAGCACAAGAACCAUGAUACAAAGUAGGGAGGUUAGAUUUAUCAAAAGUACCAAUAGAUAUGAACGAAGAGUCAAUAAUAUCUGAAUAAUUUCCUUCAGAACAUUUUUGAUCCACAACGUCCCAAUUUAAUAGUUGAAAAUUGUCAUAAGCAACAUAGAUUUGAUCUAAAUCGGGAAAUGAGUACAAAGUUUCAACUUGAGCACCAUCAGAUGGCAAGUAGCUUAGACUAUAAAAGUCGAUUAAUAACUGAUAACACACUGAUAACUUACAGAUUAUAAGAUUCAUCCAAGGCACACAAUGAGCCAUCUAAACUCAUAAAAAUAAAUAAGCCUGAUGAACCAGAAGAUAAUGAUUUCUUUGCAUGAAUAAUUUUAGUAAUUGAAGAAGAUUGCAAAGCACGCUCGCAGAGAAAUCUCCAUCUUUCACCCUGAAGUUGUUGAUAAAAGUAAGCCUUUCCAGUUUUGGUAGCAACAACUAAAAUUGAGCGUGAAUGUUCAGUUUCAAAUAUUUUCAUAUAUGUUACAAUUCCAGAAACCCUUGUAAAAGAGUAAAGAGGAGCUGGAUCAUUGUGAAGGUACCAGUCAAACAAAGAAAACAUCACUAAACCAGAGGUUGUUCCAAGGAAUAAAUUAAGAGAGUCCGUAUAAGCGUAGGAAACAGCAGCUGUAUUGCUCAACUUACAAAGAUUGCAUGAGUCUACGGUUCCUUCUGUUAACCAAUUGAAAGUUAUUUUUUCGGGAUAAACACACAAACUAACGGGUUUACUUUUUAAAAUGGUGCACGAUUUCCAUGGAAAAUCUCCAGAAUACUUAGAAAUUAAUUCGAAAUGAGGUUCAGGAGAUUGAUGAAGUUUGAGUAAAGUUGAAGACGAAAGAGUAAAAAUACAAGCCGUGCCAUCAGCCAAAACAAAUACAGAUGUUAUCUCUGCAAGUGAAUAUGAAGCUAUAAAUUUCUCAUGCGAUUCCAAUAGUACUACCGCAUCCGAGUAUACAUAUAGCGCAUAAUUGGAAGAAAUGCAAUCUGCUGGUACAACAUCAAUAACCUUACCAAAAGUUGGUUUAACAUCUGCUUUUGUAACUGAAUUUCUUUUAAAAGUAAGAGCUGACCAAUCAACUGACCAAAGAGAUACAGAUCCAUCUGAAUAGGCGACAGGGAUUAAUAAAGCUUCGUCUUUGAACGGAAACAAAAUAGGCCAGUCCUCAUGACCAGUCCAAGUCGCAACUAUCUGAAAGUUGGAGAUUCUAAUGAGAUAUAUUUUCA